GUCGCAUUGGCGCAAUGGUAGCGCGCAAGACUUCUACUGUAGACAUAUCUUGAGGCUGUGGGUUCGAGCCCCACAUGCGAUG
rfam:Blumeria graminis f. sp. hordei DH14, WGS project CATH01000000 data, contig: 006232